UACGAAGGGGGCUAGCGUUGCUCGGAAUUACUGGGCGUAAAGCGCACGUAGGCGGACUCUUAAGUCGGUGGUGAAAUCCUGGAGCUCAACUCCAGAACUGCCUUCGAUACUGGGAGUCUCGAGUUCGGGAGAGGUGAGUGGAACUGCGAGUGUAGAGGUGAAAUUCGUAGAUAUUCGCAAGAACACCAGUGGCGAAGGCGGCUCACUGGCCCGAUACUGACGCUGAGGUGCGAAAGCGUGGGGAGUAAACAGG
rnacentral:rRNA from 1 species